rnacentral:rRNA from 1 species
CCUACGGGGCGCAGCAGUGGGGAAUAUUGGACAAUGGGCGAAAGCCUGAUCCAGCCAUGCCGCGUGUGUGAAGAAGGCCUUCGGGUUGUAAAGCACUUUCAGUGGGGAAGAAAGCCUUGGGGCUAAUACCCUCGAGGAAGGACAUCACCCACAGAAGAAGCACCGGCUAACUCCGUGCCAGCAGCCGCGGUAAUACGGAGGGUGCGAGCGUUAAUCGGAAUUACUGGGCGUAAAGCGCGCGUAGGCGGUCUGAUAAGCCGGUUGUGAAAGCCCCGGGCUCAACCUGGGAACGGCAUCCGGAACUGUCAGGCUAGAGUGCAGGAGAGGAAGGUAGAAUUCCCGGUGUAGCGGUGAAAUGCGUAGAGAUCGGGAGGAAUACCAGUGGCGAAGGCGGCCUUCUGGACUGACACUGACGCUGAGGUGCGAAAGCGUGGGUAGCAAACAGGAUUAGAUACCCCUGUAUC